rnacentral:rRNA from 1 species
GGGGGGGGGGGGGGCUAUACAUGCAGUCGAGCGAAUGGAUUAAGAGCUUGCUCUUAUGAAGUUAGCGGCGGACGGGUGAGUAACACGUGGGUAACCUGCCCAUAAGACUGGGAUAACUCCGGGAAACCGGGGCUAAUACCGGAUAACAUUUUGAACCGCAUGGUUCGAAAUUGAAAGGCGGCUUCGGCUGUCACUUAUGGAUGGACCCGCGUCGCAUUAGCUAGUUGGUGAGGUAACGGCUCACCAAGGCAACGAUGCGUAGCCGACCUGAGAGGGUGAUCGGCCACACUGGGACUGAGACACGGCCCAGACUCCUACGGGAGGCAGCAGUAGGGAAUCUUCCGCAAUGGACGAAAGUCUGACGGAGCAACGCCGCGUGAGUGAUGAAGGCUUUCGGGUCGUAAAACUCUGUUGUUAGGGAAGAACAAGUGCUAGUUGAAUAAGCUGGCACCUUGACGGUACCUAACCAGAAAGCCACGGCUAACUACGUGCCAGCAGCCGCGGUAAUACGUAGGUGGCAAGCGUUAUCCGGAAUUAUUGGGCGUAAAGCGCGCGCAGGUGGUUUCUUAAGUCUGAUGUGAAAGCCCACGGCUCAACCGUGGAGGGUCAUUGGAAACUGGGAGACUUGAGUGCAGAAGAGGAAAGUGGAAUUCCAUGUGUAGCGGUGAAAUGCGUAGAGAUAUGGAGGAACACCAGUGGCGAAGGCGACUUUCUGGUCUGUAACUGACACUGAGGCGCGAAAGCGUGGGGAGCAAACAGGAUUAAUCCCGGGGGUACUCUCAAAAA